AACGAACGCUGGCGGCAUGCCUAACACAUGCAAGUCGAACGAGACCUUCGGGUCUAGUGGCGCACGGGUGCGUAACGCGUGGGAACCUGCCCUUAGGUUCGGAAUAACUCCCCGAAAGGGGUGCUAAUACCGGAUAAUGUCUUCGGACCAAAGAUUUAUCGCCUUUGGAUGGGCCCGCGUUGGAUUAGCUAGUUGGUAGGGUAAAAGCCUACCAAGGCGACGCUCCAUAGCUGGUCUGAGAGGAUGAUCAGCCACACUGGGACUGAGACACGGCCCAGACUCCUACGGAAGGCAGCAGUGGGUAAUAUUGGACAAUGGGCGAGAGCCUGAUCCAGCAAUGCCGCGUGAGUGAUGAAGGCCUUAGGGUUGUAAAGCUCUUUUACCCGGGAUGAUAAUGACGGUACCGGGAGAAUAAGCUCCGGCUAACUCCGUG
rnacentral:rRNA from 1 species